rnacentral:tRNA from 1 species
GGCAACGUAGCUCAGUCGGUUAGAGCGGGCGCUUCAUAAGCGUCAGGUCGCUGGUUCAAGUCCAGCCGUUGCCACCA